GGGGGAGGUAGCCGUCAGAUGGAGCAGGUGAGUGGACAAGCGAAGCGCACCAUUAGAGCAAUGCUGAACGAGCAUUAUGCACCCAGUGUGACCUCUUGGUUUGCUGGAUGUCUAAUCCUGCUCAUAAUAGUCUCCUAUUCAGUACACUCAUCAUUCUCAGCAGUGCCACUCGCACCUCAUUGUUAUGGGAGCUUUAAAGCUCAGAGUGGCUGUGAGGUAAGCAGUGAGAGGGUGAAAAAGAGAGGAGAGAGAAAAGAGGGGAAGGGAGGGUGGGAGAGAGAGAGAGAGAGAAAGAGAGAGAGAGAGAGAGACUGCUUGAUGCAAAGAGGAGAGAGAGAGAGAGAGAGAGAGAAGAUUUUCACACACACACCCGGACUAACUCACUCAACUUCCACUCUGGCCUACGCGCAACAUCAUCCAUGCAUCUUGGGCUGCUCCCAGUCUCUCUGUUAUAUCUGCCUAUCUUCAGGUCUAUUUCAGGCAAUCUCUGAUGUCGUGAAGUUCAACCGGAAGAUCCUUUAGCCCAUUCCACUCCCCCCUCCCCUCCCCAAAAGGGGGGAACGAGCCCAAGAAAAAAAGCGAAGUGCUUUCCUAUCUGGGGUUUCUUAUCCUUACAGAGACCUACAAAAACUGGGGAAAUUAUAGCAUUGGAUGCCUGAGAAACGUCCCUCUAUGCAACAGUAAAUGAGCUCUUUGGUUCCUACCUUCAGACUGAACAUAUCAUGGUUCAAGCAAGAGAGAAAAGUGCCGAGUGGAGAUAGUUUUGCACACUGGCAACCAACCUCAGAAGAACGCUACCCUGGAAUUGCCUGUCACUUAGAGAAGUGAGAGACUUCUAGCCACUGAACUGACGUCAGAAGCACAGCGAGCUGGAUGAAUAGGAAGAGCUCAAUUUUCAGCGACUGAUCCGGUUUUUGCUUGUGGCAAUGCAAACUUGGCUACGGUGCUUGGAACACAGCGUUAUGUCUGCUGAAGUGUAAGGGGGCUAGCACUUAAGAACAUCAGGUGCAAUCUGACUAAUGGGUUUUAAACUCUGCCAGCUUUCUCCUCUUUUAUCCUCCUUUGUUUCUUUCUUUUACCAGUCCUAAAACAAGGUUCUCAAGCAUCCCAGAGCACCACGAUUCUAAAUCUGGCAAUGCCUCUUGUCAGAUGAGUUGUGUUCUAUCAUGCCGGGUCAGAAGGACGUGAAAUUGCUCAGAAUCUGAGAACUGAGUCAGCUUUGGUUUGUCUCACAAGAUAGAAAGUCUCAUUUUGACUGAGCCUCUGUAGGGCGAAGUUCAAAAGAGGAAGUAUAGUAUCUUAGAUUGAACCCCAGAACUUACCCUUUACGCCACCAGUGAUUUGGAAGAGAAAUAAAUGUAAGUCCUUAGCUAGAUCCUGUAAGCAGAAAGGAAAGUACUCCUCUAGUCUGGUUGCACCAAGACGGAAAAACACCUUGUCUGCCCGAUGGGACACUCAAGCUUGUAUGGAUGAGGACUCCUAUAUGCCGAGGGUUCUCAAGCUUGGGUUCCCAGAUGUGGUUGGACUACAACACCCAUCAUCCCCAGCCCCGGUGGCUGAAGGCCACUGUGGCUGGGGAUGAUGGGUGUUGUAGUCCAAUCACAUCUGAGAACCCAAGUUUGAGAACCCCUACUAUAAGAUUAAUUUUGCCUGGAGAGUCAUAGAACAUCCUAUUUUCCAUGCACAGGGGUACUGGGGAAGAAGAGAAGGACAAGCGCUAGCAGCAAUUCAAGGUAAACAUACACUCCGGGAGGAACUAAAUAUAAGAAGAAACAUGAGGCUGCCACUAAAAUCAGCAGCCUUAGGCUAUUCCUCCUCUGCUUCUCUGUGUCAUUCUAGGAUGACUUUGUCUGUAUCCCAAUAUCAUUACAUUGAGCGUCUUCCCACUCCCCAGUACAUAUUAGUGGCUGAUGUUGGCCUGGCAGGGUCACUAAAAUUCAUCACCAUGUAAUAAUGUCAGUCAUCCAUCGAGUAUGUUGUAUUAACUUUUAUGGACGGAUGUGGGGAUUUCUUGUACAACACCCUGGUGGGGUCAAUUAAAAGGAAAACAACCCCGUGACUUUGAUAUAUAUCAUUGGAAUGCUCCAAAUAAAGAACAUAUGCAUACUGAGUCCUAAAGAAAA